GAAGCUGGCAUUCUACACUGAGUGGCCAGAUUGUUAUGACUGCCCAGAUUAUUAUGACUACCCCAUCAAUACAAUGAAGUGAAUUAGUUAUGCAAAUAAUAAUAAUAAAAAAAAAACCUUGAGAGUAUUUGCUUAGGAAGUUUUCAAUAUUCAGUAUUUUUGGAAGUGUCAAUGAAGUACUGAUGCGGUGGUCAUAAUAAUCUGGCUGGUCAUAAUAAUUUGGCCACUCAGUGUAUAUUAUAUGUAC